rnacentral:sRNA from 1 species
UGAAGGGCUAAAUGUGUACUAUGCUCGAGAGGAGGGAGAUUGGGUGGAUGAAUAGGAUGAUGAGGGAGGAGAGGUGGUGAGCUGUUGUUUGGCGUUCGAAUGUAAGGUUGUUGUGUGAAAGAUGGAGUUUGAUAGAUGUUGUGAAACUCGGUCGGUUGAGAACGUGCAGAAGGAUUUGUACGCGGCGGCUGGAAACUCGGGAGCAUAGGUGCCUUCCUGACUACACCACUCGUAGCCACCCCAGCUUUGCCUAGUCUCCGCUGGAUCCCACGACGGCGCUGGGCUGACGGAUUGAGAACUGUGGCUUCGGCAUGGACUAGGCACCUGAUACUGGAUGGCGCUGUUGGUCGAGAUACCGCAGGCUGAGACAUUGUCCCCAAUAGAAGGAGCAGGAGGAUAGAGAGGAAAAGAAUGAUUGAGAUGGAACUGAGGAAGUGGGGCGUCGGCUGUGGCAGACAUCUUCUGGCUUACAUCAACGAGUGACGUGGGAUGAAAGUUGACGCCAUUCCGCUCAGAAACAGGAGCACGCCCAGACGAGUGACAAUAGGUGACACUCCUUUCGACGCAGGCACGACACGAGGCAUUAUCAUCAACCAUCAAAAUCAUAGCUGGUGUGACCCCUUCCUUCCAACUUGCCCCGCACGCGCGCGUAGUUGGAGACGGUGUGCUGGAAGCGAGCGGCUGUGAAGGGUAAAGAAAAGUGAGAGUACGGAAAAAAGAAAAGGAGAUUUGGUCUAGAAAUCAGCAAGCGACAGUGAUGAGAAGCAACACAGGUCAGCAUAGAGUAGCUUUGCUUCAAAACUGUCGGCAUGUCACUUAUUUUCUCGUUGAGACGCCGGUUCAGUCUCACAGAGACACGAAACUCGAAGAAAAGAUCAAUUUGCCUUCUUAACAUCCUCCAUUAGAUUUUAACGGUCAGGUGACAUCCCUAAAUCAAGGGUUAUGGAGAUGCGAUAGGAUGAAAAGGAGAGGAAGAGAUAGGAAAAAAGGAGAAAAGAUGGCGAUGACGUCUUUUGCGCUUGUAUCUUGUAAGUGAUCGUUGAAUAUAUCUCCUGGCUUGACCCAGACAAAUCGAACGCUACUCUUGGCCUUUUUUUAGAUCACCUUUGAUCAAAUUUUCAUGGUCACUUUUGAUCAUUUUGGUCUUGCUGAUGAAGGAUGGGAAGUUGGGAAUUGAUGGGGAUUAGGAUCAAUUAAAAUGGCAAGUGAUCUCUAGGAGAGAAAAACAGGAUAAAGUUUGUUUUUCUUUUAUUGACGCACUUGGUGUUAACCAUUGGCCGAAAAUACCAUACGGCUUAGAAAGGAAGGAAUUUACUUCAGCCUGCGACCAAAUUCAACCUCCAUACAUUGCAGCCGAUUAACUUACUUCGUCUAGGGUAACAGUACUUAGCCCCUAUAUCAUCAAGCGCACCGCUACGCCUGCUGUUGCUGUCAAGGAGGAUAAGUAUUCGAAGGCGAGAGGAUGGAAAGGAAGGACCAUAUCAGGCUGUAAGGCAAGGCUGUUGCAACAUCCCUUUCCACCAUUUUUGGCUGCGCUCUGGCCUCUAGUUUCUAGAUAGGCAGGUUUGAGUCCGCCUCCGAUUUGGGCUUUCUCUUUUACGUCAUCCGUAUUCCUUGCUUGCCCUUUGAUAUCAACGACUGCAAUGGCUACCCUCUUCCGACAGCUGCCAAGCGCGCCUCCAGAUCCCAACUCUCACAGCUUCCGCCCUUUACUUGACUGGCAUUCCGCUUCUCCUCCACCUCCCGCCACCCUAGUACUCUUUCUUUGACUCUUGAACCUUCCCAUUAUUUCCUAACUAUCAAAAUCCCGACCCCUAUACUGUAGACUGAUUAACUGCCACUUAUUAUCACUCAAGGCGUCACUGUUAUGUACCUUCAACCUAAAAAAACAGUAGAUCAGCAACUGGAAUCCAUCAAGGAUUGAGAGGCAUCAAUUAAUUGUACGACAGUGAGUGGUGAAACGAACUCGCAAGCUGAGAGACUGAUAGUUAGGUCGUUGACAGGGAUUACCUACAAUUCGCUGUAUAAACAUGGAACACAUCUAAUAUUAUUUAAAAUUAGAAACAGAGAAGUCGGAACCCUAAAGAUUGCGUCGCGUACGAUACAGUUGCAGUUACGUGUAGUUUGAAAAAAAAAAAAUCAAAAGAAAAAGUUGUAAGAUCAUCAUAUGAAAGUGGAAGAAGCGCAGUAUGGAACAGAUAGAAAGCGUACCACAAGCCAAAGUCAAGAAUAUGCACAAAAGAAAGAAACAUG